UCCAGUCUUGCUGUAUCCUACACAGAGGUUACUGAGCAAGCUCACAGCCACAGUAUCCAGUCUUGCUGUAUCCUACACAGAGGUUACUGAGCAAGCCCACAGCCACAGUAUCCAGUCUUGCUGUAUCCUACACAGAGGUUACUGAGCAAGCCCACAGCCACAGUAUCCAGUCUUGCUGUAUCCUACACAGAGGUUACUGAGCAAGCCCACAGCCACAGUAUCCAGUCUUGCUGUAUCCUACACAGAGGUUACUGAGCAAGCCCACCUCCACAGUAUCUAGUCUUGCUGUAUCCUACACAGAGGUUACUGAGCAAGCCCACAGCCACAGUAUCCAGUCUUGCUGUAUCCUACACAGAGGUUACUGAGCAAGCCCACAGCCACAGUAUCCAGUCUUGCUUGCUGUAUCCUACACAGAGGUUACUGAGCAAGCCCACCUCCACAGUAUCCAGUCUUGCUGUAUUCUACACAGAGGUUACUGAGCAAGCUCACAGCCACAGUAUCCAGUCUUGCUGUAUCCUACACAGAGGUUACUGAGCAAGCUCACAGCCACAGUAUCCAGUCUUGCUGUAUCCUACACAGAGGUUACUGAGCAAGCCCACCGCCACAGUAUCCAGUCUUGCUGUAUCCUACACAGAGGUUACUGAGCAAGCCCACCGCCACAGUAUCCAGUCUUGCUGUAUCCUACACAGAGGUUACUGAGCAAGCCCACCUCCACAGUAUCCAGUCUUGCUGUAUCCUACACAGAGGUUACUGAGCAAGCCCACCUCCACAGUAUCCAGUCUUG